rnacentral:rRNA from 1 species
AAUAACAUAAACAUUUUAACGGCCGCGGUAUCCCUGACCGUGCUAAGGUAGCACAAUCAUGAGCCUCCUAAUUAGAGGAUAGAAUGAAUGAAUUAACAAGAAAAUUGCUGUCUCUUUCAUAAUAAUUGAAAUUUAAAUUUAGGUGAAAAUGCCUAAUUUUCCAAUAAAGACAGAAAGACCCUAUAAGCUUUUACAAUAAUAUUAUAUUAAUAAAAAUGUAUUUAACUGGGGCGGUUCCAAGAAAAAAACACUUUUUUAAUUGAUAAGAAAAAUAUUUCGACUAAUUUAUCUAUAAACACCCAAGUAAGUUACUGUAGGGAUAACAGACUAAUACUUCUUAAGAGCACAAAUCAACAGAAGUGCUUAGUACCUCGAUGUUGGCUUAAGGAUCCCGUAUUAUGUAGCAGUAAAACAGGGGGGUUUGUUCAACCUUUAAUACCUUACAUGAUCUGAG